rnacentral:rRNA from 1 species
GAUGAACGCUGGCGGCGUGCCUAAUACAUGCAAGUCGAGCGAACAGACGAGGAGCUUGCUCCUCUGACGUUAGCGGCGGACGGGUGAGUAACACGUGUAUAACCUACCUAUAAUACUGGUAUAACUUCGGGAAACCGGCGCUAAUACCGGAUAAUAUAUUGAACCGCAUUGGUCAAUGGUGAGAUACGGUGUUGCUGUCACUACUAGAUGCAUCCCGGCCGCAUUAGCUGGUUGGUAAGGUAACGGCUUACGAAGGCAACGAUGCGUAGACGACCGGACAGGGGGAUAGGCCACACUGGAAGUGAGACAGGGACAAGACUCCUACGGGAGGCAGCAGUAGGGAACGGUCCGCAAUGGGCGAAAGCUUGACGGAGCAACGCGGCGUGAGUGAUGAAGGUCCUCGGAGCGUAAAAAUCGGUUAUUAGGGAAGAACAAAUGUGUAAGUAACUAUGCCGGUAUUGACGGUACCGAAUCAGAAAGCCACGGCUAACUACGUG